rnacentral:rRNA from 1 species
UUUAAGAAAAUUUUUAAAAUUUGGUUUAGUUGAACUGGAUUAGUACCCCGGUAAUCAAAAUUAAUUAAUUCGGGAGUAAAGUUUUGUUUAAACCGAAAAAAUAUUGACUGACUCUGGAUUUCUUUUUGGAAUAUGUGUAUGGAGAGCCCUCUUUUAUAGUAAAUCUUUUUUUGCCCAUGUAUGAUUGUUUAGUUUUUAUUUUAUUUUGUAAUGCUUUAUUUUUAGAUUAAAAACAGAUAUAUAUUUGGCUUAUGGGUUUAUUAAUC